rnacentral:rRNA from 1 species
GACGAACGCUGGCGGCGUGCCUAAUACAUGCAAGUUGAGCGAUGAAGCUUGGUGCUUGCACCAAUUUGAAGAGCAGCGAACGGGUGAGUAACGCGUGGGGAAUCUGCCUUUGAGCGGGGGACAACAUUUGGAAACGAAUGCUAAUACCGCAUAACAACUUUAAACAUAAGUUUUAAGUUUGAAAGAUGCAAUUGCAUUACUCAAAGAUGAUCCCGCGUUGUAUUAGCUAGUUGGUGAGGUAAAGGCCCACCAAGGCGAUGAUACAUAGCCGACCUGAGAGGGUGAUCGGCCACAUUGGGACUGGAACACGGCCCAAACUCCUACGGGAGGCAGCAGGAGGGAAUCUUCGGCAAUGGACGAAAGUCUGACCGAGCAACGCCGCGUGAGUGAAGAAGGGUUUCGGAUCGUAAAACUCUGUUGGUAGAGAAGAAAGUUGGUGGGAGUGGAAAGCGCAUCAAGUGACGGUAACUACCCAGAAAGGGACGGCUAACUACGUG